GGCUCAGGACGAACGCUGGCGGCGUGCCUAAUACAUGCAAGUAGAACGCUGAAGAGAGGAGCUUGCUCUUCUUGGAUGAGUUGCGAACGGGUGAGUAACGCGUAGGUAACCUGCCUUGUAGCGGGGGAUAACUAUUGGAAACGAUAGCUAAUACCGCAUAACAAUGGAUGACACAUGUCAUUUAUUUGAAAGGGGCAAAUGCUCCACUACAAGAUGGACCUGCGUUGUAUUAGCUAGUAGGUGAGGUAACGGCUCACCUAGGCGACGAUACAUAGCCGACCUGAGAGGGUGAUCGGCCACACUGGGACUGAGACACGGCCCAGACUCCUACGGGAGGCAGCAGUAGGGAAUCUUCGGCAAUGGGGGCAACCCUGACCGAGCAACGCCGCGUGAGUGAAGAAGGUUUUCGGAUCGUAAAGCUCUGUUGUAAGUCAAGAACGAGUGUGAGAGUGGAAAGUUCACACUGUGACGGUAGCUUACCAGAAAGGGACGGCUAACUACGUGCCAGCAGCCGCGGUAAUACGUAGGUCCCGAGCGUUGUCCGGAUUUAUUGGGCGUAAAGCGAGCGCAGGCGGUUUGAUAAGUCUGAAGUUAAAGGCUGUGGCUCAACCAUAGUUCGCUUUGGAAACUGUCAAACUUGAGUGCAGAAGGGGAGAGUGGAAUUCCAUGUGUAGCGGUGAAAUGCGUAGAUAUAUGGAGGAACACCGGUGGCGAAAGCGGCUCUCUGGUCUGUAACUGACGCUGAGGCUCGAAAGCGUGGGGAGCGAACAGGAUUAGAUACCCUGGUAGUCCACGCCGUAAACGAUGAGUGCUAGGUGUUGGAUCCUUUCCGGGAUUCAGUGCCGCAGCUAACGCAUUAAGCACUCCGCCUGGGGAGUACGACCGCAAGGUUGAAACUCAAAGGAAUUGACGGGGGCCCGCACAAGCGGUGGAGCAUGUGGUUUAAUUCGAAGCAACGCGAAGAACCUUACCAGGUCUUGACAUCCCGAUGCUAUUUCUAGAGAUAGAAAGUUACUUCGGUACAUCGGUGACAGGUGGUGCAUGGUUGUCGUCAGCUCGUGUCGUGAGAUGUUGGGUUAAGUCCCGCAACGAGCGCAACCCCUAUUGUUAGUUGCCAUCAUUCAGUUGGGCACUCUAGCGAGACUGCCGGUAAUAAACCGGAGGAAGGUGGGGAUGACGUCAAAUCAUCAUGCCCCUUAUGACCUGGGCUACACACGUGCUACAAUGGUUGGUACAACGAGUUGCGAGUCGGUGACGGCAAGCUAAUCUCUUAAAGCCAAUCUCAGUUCGGAUUGUAGGCUGCAACUCGCCUACAUGAAGUCGGAAUCGCUAGUAAUCGCGGAUCAGCACGCCGCGGUGAAUACGUUCCCGGGCCUUGUACACACCGCCCGUCACACCACGAGAGUUUGUAACACCCGAAGUCGGUGAGGUAACCUUUUGGAGCCAGCCGCCUAAGGUGGGA
rnacentral:rRNA from 1 species